rnacentral:lncRNA from 1 species
GUUUAUCAUAACAAUGCAAAAUAGUAUAACUCAGUAUUUAUCGUAACUUAAAGUUUUAGAUUGAUCAUUGAUCCCAAUAUAUCUAUAGAAUGAGUGUUUCAUAAAUGUACAACAGUUUUGAUUAUUACCUCUGAAAUCUGAAUAAUUUUUCUCGCAUGACAACUCUAAUACUAAUUAGAACAAAUAUUAAUAGUUAUCAAAGGUACCAGGAUUAUAAUUUAGUACGCCAGACGCGCGUGUCGUCUUCAUAAGACUCAUCAGUGACGCUCAAAUCAUAAUAUUUAUAAAACCAAAAUUCCAAAAAAUUUAGCCUCAUGUAUGGGAAAUGAAUUAAUGAAAAGGAAUUAUCCUUCAUGGAAGAAAUAAUCGCAAAGGAGUUAGGUAAUAUUUUAUUUAAGUAAGUUUAACAAACAUACUUUCUUUCUAGCAUCUCAACUAUAUAAAAUCUGAAAACUUGAAUUUGAAGACCGUAAUUCAGC